CACACACCUUUCUCUCUCUUCGCACUGUUCAUCUUCUCCUCCUUCUCUCUUGAAGUUUCCUGCGUUUUUAUGGAGGACCGGCGCGGGGUGGCUUCUUCAGCACUAGCGUCGGUCCUAUACUCUUGUUUUAUUUCAUGCUUGCUUCUCUGUUACUCGGUGUGUGACUUUGCUUCCGUUUUUGAAGGAGAUACGCAUCUACCAAGUCGACUUAUACUUUCAGAUCUGAUGUUGUCUUUCCGGUUGGGGUUUGCUAUGGAUUCUGCCUAAUCAUUAUUUUGCCAUUCAUGGCCUGCGAUCGUUUUUCGGAUUUGGUGGACUUCGCUCUUAGUUGCUUGUUGCAGAUCUCGUGGAGAUCAUGUCUUUUGUGGCUUCAUACCUAGGCUUUCAAUGGUCUGUUUGACUCAGCCGCUUCCGGGAGUGAUUAGUGGAAUCAAAAGGAUUCUCACUUGCCGGUUUAUGAAGUUCUUGUUACUUGGUUCUGGAGGUGUAUCCUCGUUGUGCUAGGAGGAAGUGGGUUUUCGGUGGUCUGGCCGAGAGCAGUCCCGUUAACCAGUUUCAUGGAUUCUCUAGAAGUCAGACAUGUCUGUAAGUGUUGUUUAUCAUCAAUUGUUUGGAAGUUAGUUGCUUAGUUUAAUGUUGUUGUUGUAAGCGCCCUGGUCUGUAUUCUUUUGGGCUAAUGCAUCCCAUUUGUGGGAUCUAGUUUCCGGGGUUUGUCUGUUGUCCGGUCUAGUUAACCAUGGAUAGUAACUUCAUCUAUUGGUCUUGUAUCUUUCUUUGGUAAUAAUAAACUUUCAGGGAAAAAAAAA